rnacentral:lncRNA from 1 species
GAAAACGGUCGGAGCAUACCGAAGCUACACGGGGUGGAGGAUGUUGGCGAACCCACUGUGCAGGUAACGCCAGCCGAUGAGUGAGCUUCAGAUACGCUCCAAUCGGGAAAAAAGUGAAGUUUCGUAAUACUGACAGCUAUUCUCGACAAACGUCACUGAGAUGGGUAGGACGAGGAGGUGAUCAAUUUGUGAGAAGAGCAUAAGGCAGAACGAAGCUAUUAUUAUAAGCAGCAGGUUGCAAACUACAAUAGCAAAUUACCAUAACAUCAUCAUUACUUGUGAAUUUGAACCUAUUUUUGCCACUAGUUGGAAGAAUUACGUGAAUUAUCAAAGAACACAAGUAUACCCACUUCAACCGAAUAGUUUGGUUAGUUCGAGAAAUACACCGAAUUCUUUGAAGCUUCUCUCGAUGCUACCAAAGAGGUGUUAUACUCUAUUCCAAACGAAGAUUUCCC